rnacentral:rRNA from 1 species
AACGUAGGUGGCAAGCGUUAUCCGGAAUUACUGGGCGUAAAGGGUGUGCAGGCGGGGAAGCAAGUGGUGUAUGAAAUCUCCCAGCUUAACUGGGAUAGGUUAUGCCAGACUGCUUUUCUAGAGGACGAGAGAGGGGGGUGGAAUUCCGGGUGUAGUGGUGAAAUGCGCAGAUAUCAGGAGGAACACCGGUGGCGAAGGCGGGUCUCUGGGCCGUUACUGACGCUGGAGGAGCGAAAGCGUGGGGAGCGAACAGG